UACGUAGGGUGCAAGCGUUAAUCGGAAUUACUGGGCGUAAAGUGUGCGCAGGCGGUGAUGUAAGACAGAUGUGAAAUCCCCGGGCUCAACCUGGGACUGCAUUUGUGACUGCAUCGCUGGAGUGCGGCAGAGGGGGAUGGAAUUCCGCGUGUAGCAGUGAAAUGCGUAGAUAUGCGGAGGAACACCGAUGGCGAAGGCAGCCCCCUGGGUCAAGAUUGACGCUCAUGCACGAAAGCGUGGGGAGCAAACAGG
rnacentral:rRNA from 1 species